GACGAACGCUGGCGGCGUGCCUAAUACAUGCAAGUUGAGCGCUGAAGGUUGGUACUUGUACCGACUGGAUGAGCAGCGAACGGGUGAGUAACGCGUGGGGAAUCUGCCUUUGAGCGGGGGACAACAUUUGGAAACGAAUGCUAAUACCGCAUAAAAACUUUAAACACAAGUUUUAAGUUUGAAAGAUGCAAUUGCAUCACUCAAAGAUGAUCCCGCGUUGUAUUAGCUAGUUGGUGAGGUAAAGGCUCACCAGGGCGAUGAUACAUAGCCGACCUGAGAGGGUGAUCGGCCACAUUGGGACUGAGACACGGCCCAAACUCCUACGGGAGGCAGCAGUAGGGAAUCUUCGGCAAUGGACGAAAGUCUGACCGAGCAACGCCGCGUGAGUGAAGAAGGUUUUCGGAUCGUAAAACUCUGUUGGUAGAGAAGAACGUUGGUGAGAGUGGAAAGCUCAUCAAGUGACGGUAACUACCCAGAAAGGGACGGCUAACUACGUG
rnacentral:rRNA from 1 species